UACGUAGGGGGCAAGCGUUGUCCGGAAUCAUUGGGCGUAAAGCGCGCGUAGGCGGCCCGGUAAGUCCGCUGUAAAAGUCCAGGGCUCAACCCUGGAAAGCCGGUGGAUACUGUCGGGCUAGAGUCCGGAAGAGGCGAGUGGAAUUCCUGGUGUAGCGGUGAAAUGCGCAGAUAUCGGGAGGAACACCAAUGGCGAAGGCAGCUCGCUGGGACGUUACUGACGCUGAGACGCGAAAGCGUGGGGAGCAAACAGG
rnacentral:rRNA from 1 species